AGGACUGAGACUGAGGAAGCGAAGAGAGAACGGCGAACAGCAAUGAUUCUGCGCAUGUUCUAGGCGCAGGGGUUGGGCGGGAGAAACGGGGUAACCUGUCCGAGAGUAUAGCGCCACUGGGACUUCGCCGAAAAAUCACUAAAAAAAUCGCCAAAAAUUACUUCGAGCAAAGGGCAAUCCGCAGAGCUUCGCCAGGGUUGGCGCAGUCGGUUUUGACCUUUAGGAGAGAGCCAAUUCUGGAGAACAACCUAACUUCUUUGAUUGAACACUCACAUAAUGCAUUGGAACAUGAUAGGAGAUUAAGGUUUAAUAAUGAUAAAAUGAAGACUAUAAUAAAACAGCCCCCUACUUAGCCCAGCAAUUCUUACCUUGCUAAACAUAGUCAAGUCC